rnacentral:misc_RNA from 1 species
CUCCUCCGUGUGCAUGCAAGUGCGUGCGGAGGCACUGCGCCGCUGUGCGAGAGACCCCUCUUGCGCACGGCGUCAAGAUCUUGCAAAUGCAUGCGCCGCGGCUCGGCUCACGCAUGGACUCUACGAUCUCUGCAUCUGGGUCUGUGCACGGGCAUGCGGUGCUUGUGCGAGCAAGUGUGCAUGUGCGGUUGGCGCUGGAAAGCGCGCUGCACGCACAAUUCUCAUAUCUCGACCU